rnacentral:rRNA from 1 species
CCUACGGGGGGCAGCAGUGAGGAAUAUUGGUCAAUGGACGAGAGUCUGAACCAGCCAAGUAGCGUGAAGGAUGACUGCCCUAUGGGUUGUAAACUUCUUUUAUAUGGGAAUAAAACAGGGUAUGCAUACCCUCUUGUAUGUACCAUAUGCAUAAGGAUCGGCUAACUCCGUGCCAGCAGCCGCGGUAAUACGGAGGAUCCGAGCGUUAUCCGGAUUUAGUGGGUUUAAGGGGAGCGUAGGUGGAUUGUUAAGUCAGUUGUGAAAGUUUGCGGCUCAACCGUAAAAUUGCAAUUGAUACUGGCAGGCUUGAGUACAGUUGAGGUAGGCGGAAUUCGUGGUGUAGCGGUGAAAUGCUUAGAUAUCACGAAGAAACCCGAUUGCGAAGGCAGCUUACUAAACUGUGACUGACAUUGAUGCUCGAAAGUGUGGGUAUCAAACAGGAUUAGAUACCCUUGUAGUC